CCUACGGGUGGCAGCAGUGAGGAAUAUUGGUCAAUGGCCGCGAGGCUGAACCAGCCAAGCCGCGUGAAGGAUGAAUGCCCUACGGGUUGUAAACUUCUUUUAUCGAGGAACAAAGUGCCGGACGUGUGCCUUUCUGUAUGUACCCUAUGAAAAAGGAUCGGCUAACUCCGUGCCAGCAGCCGCGGUAAUACGGAGGAUCCGAGCGUUAUCCGGAUUUAUUGGGUUUAAAGGGUGCGUAGAGGGGUUGUUAAGCCGGGUGUGAAAGCUGGCGGCUCAACCGUAGAAUUGCAAUUGAUACUGGCAGUCUUGAGUGCGGUUGAGGUAGGCGGAAUGCGUGGUGUAGCGGUGAAAUGCAUAGAUAUCGCGAAGAACGCCGAUUGCGAAGGCAGCUUACUAAGCUGCCACGGACGUUGAUGCACGAAAGUGUGGGUAUCGAACAGGAUUAGAUACCCGAGUAGUC
rnacentral:rRNA from 1 species